GACGAACGCUGACGGCGUGCUUAACGCAUGCAAGUCGAACGGAAAGGCCCUGCUUUUGUGGGGUGCUCGAGUGGCGAACGGGUGAGUAACACGUGAGUAACCUGCCCUUGACUUUGGGAUAACUUCAGGAAACUGGGGCUAAUACCGGAUAGGAGCUCCUGCUGCAUGGUGGGGGUUGGAAAGUUUCGGCGGUUGGGGAUGGACUCGCGGCUUAUCAGCUUGUUGGUGGGGUAGUGGCUUACCAAGGCUUUGACGGGUAGCCGGCCUGAGAGGGUGACCGGCCACAUUGGGACUGAGAUACGGCCCAGACUCCUACGGGAGGCAGCAGUGGGGAAUAUUGCACAAUGGGCGGAAGCCUGAUGCAGCAACGCCGCGUGCGGGAUGACGGCCUUCGGGUUGUAAACCGCUUUCGCCUGUGACGAAGCGUGAGUGACGGUAAUGGGUAAAGAAGCACCGGCUAACUACGUG
rnacentral:rRNA from 1 species